rnacentral:rRNA from 1 species
CCUACGGGGGGCAGCAGUGGGGAAUAUUGGACAAUGGGGGGAACCCUGAUCCAGCCAUGCCGCGUGUGUGAAGAAGGCCCUCGGGUUGUAAAGCACUUUCAGUGAGGAAGAACGCCUGGUGGUUAAUACCCAUCAGGAAAGACAUCACUCACAGAAGAAGCACCGGCUAACUCCGUGCCAGCAGCCGCGGUAAUACGGAGGGUGCGAGCGUUAAUCGGAAUUACUGGGCGUAAAGCGCGCGUAGGUGGCUUGAUAAGCCGGUUGUGAAAGCCCCGGGCUCAACCUGGGAACGGCAUCCGGAACUGUCAAGCUAGAGUGCAGGAGAGGAAGGUAGAAUUCCCGGUGUAGUGGUGAAAUGCGUAGAGAUCGGGAGGAAUACCAGUGGCGAAGGCGGCCUUCUGGACUGACACUGACACUGAGGUGCGAAAGCGUGGGUAGCAAACAGGAUUAGAUACCCCUGUAGUC